GAUGAACGCUGGCGGCGUGCCUAAUACAUGCAAGUCGAGCGAACAGAUGAGGAGCUUGCUCCUCUGACGUUAGCGGCGGACGGGUGAGUAACACGUGGAUAACCUACCUAUAAGACUGGGAUAACUUCGGGAAACCGGAGCUAAUACCGGAUAAUAUAUUGAACCGCAUGGUUCAAUAGUGAAAGACGGUUUUGCUGUCACUUAUAGAUGGAUCCGCGCCGCAUUAGCUAGUUGGUAAGGUAACGGCUUACCAAGGCAACGAUGCGUAGCCGACCUGAGAGGGUGAAUGGCCACACUGGAACUGAGACACGGUCCAGACUCCUACGGGAGGCAGCAGUAGGGAAUCUUCCGCAAUGGGCGAAAGCUUGACGGAGCAACGCCGCGUGAGUGAUGAAGGUCUUCGGAUCGUAAAACUCUGUUAUUAGGGAAGAACAAAUGUGUAAGUAACUAUGCACGUCUUGACGGUACCUAAUCAGAAAGCCACGGCUAACUACGUG
rnacentral:rRNA from 1 species